CCUACGGGGGGCAGCAGUGGGGGAUAUUGCACAAUGGGGGGAACCCUGAUGCAGCGACGCCGCGUGGGUGAAGGAGUGCUUCGGUAUGUAAAGCCCUAUCGGCAGGGAAGAAGCAAGACGGUACCUGACUAAGAAGCCCCGGCUAACUACGUGCCAGCAGCCGCGGUAAUACGUAGGGGGCGAGCGUUAUCCGGAUUCACUGGGUGUAAAGGGAGCGUAGACGGCCAUGCAAGCCAGGGGUGAAAGCCCGGGGCCCAACCCCGGGACUGCCCUUGGAACUGCAGGGCUGGAGUGCGGGAGGGGCAGGCGGAAUUCCUGGUGUAGCGGUGAAAUGCGUAGAUAUCAGGAGGAACACCGGCGGCGAAGGCGGCCUGCUGGACCGCGACUGACGUUGAGGCUCGAAAGCGUGGGGAGCGAACAGGAUUAGAUACCCGAGUAGUC
rnacentral:rRNA from 1 species